GUAUAGACCCGAAACCCGGUGAUCUAGCCAUGGGCAGGUUGAAGGUUGGGUAACACUAACUGGAGGACCGAACCGACUAAUGUUGAAAAAUUAGCGGAUGACCUGUGGCUGGGGGUGAAAGGCCAAUCAAACCGGGAGAUAGCUGGUUCUCCCCGAAAGCUAUUUAGGUAGCGCCUCGUGAAUUCAUCUCCGGGGGUAGAGC
rnacentral:rRNA from 1 species